UACGGAGGGUGCAAGCGUUAUCCGGAUUCACUGGGUUUAAAGGGUGCGUAGGUGGGCAGGUAAGUCAGUGGUGAAAUCUCCGGGCUUAACCCGGAAACUGCCGUUGAUACUAUCUGUCUUGAAUGUAGUGGAGGUGAGCGGAAUAUGUCAUGUAGCGGUGAAAUGCUUAGAUAUGACAUAGAACACCCAUUGCGAAGGCAGCUCGCUACACUAUUACUGACACUGAGGCACGAAAGCGUGGGGAUCAAACAGG
rnacentral:rRNA from 1 species